rnacentral:other from 1 species
AAAAGCCUGGGGUGUGCGAUAACUUGCUAUUUUGAACCUACAUUUACUUGUCACGGGACAUCGUAUAAUGAACUGGAUGUCAUGCCCUCUUUUUGUAAGGGACGGCAGAAGGUUUGUUGAGAUGACCCACCUAGCUUAGCUAGGCGUCAAAAUUGCGAGACCGGCAUUCCCGGGUAUUAC